ensembl:lncRNA
UUUCCUUUGAAAAUCAGCUGUUACACGUUGAUGUACUAUAAACCCAACACAUCAUUUCUUAAACUCCACGUCUAUCCAAUCCGACAGGAUCCUGCUCUGGAACAGGGAAUAGACAAGGAAGAAUCCUCAGAUGGAUACAAAAGAAUCAAAAAGCCACACCCAGACAAGUACCUGCAAACUGAGCGUACUUUCAGCCUCAGAGCCGACAUGGAAACAGCAGAAAUUCAACCACAGGAGUUAACCUUCAGAUAUAACAGGAUAAACUUCUAUGAAGUGUUCAUUGAGAAUCCAGACAGAAAACUCAGGCUUACACUCCUGCACUCAAAUGAUGAUGAACCAGUCUGGACAUGUAAUGUUUAUCAAGAUGACUUUCCCAUGUCUGGUUAUGUUGAAGCUUCAGGAACUUCAAGGGGAGCAACUGGUGUCAGUACUUCAG